rnacentral:rRNA from 1 species
UCUACGGGAGGCAGCAGUGGGGAAUAUUGCGCAAUGGGGGAAACCCUGACGCAGCAACGCCGCGUGAGUGAUGAAGGUCUUCGGAUUGUAAAACUCUGUCUUCAGGGACGAUAAUGACGGUACCUGAGGAGGAAGCCACGGCUAACUACGUGCCAGCAGCCGCGGUAAUA